CACCGCUGAGAGAUGGACUCGCGUCCGAUUAGCUAGUUGGUGAGAUAAAGGCCCACCAAGGCGACGAUCGGUAGCCGGACUGAGAGGUUGAACGGCCACAUUGGGACUGAGACACGGCCCAGACUCCUACGGGAGGCAGCAUG
rnacentral:rRNA from 1 species